rnacentral:rRNA from 1 species
GAUGAACGCUAGCGGCAGGCUUAACACAUGCAAGUCGAGGGGCAGCAUACCAGCAAUGGUGAUGGCGACCGGCAAACGGGUGCGGAACACGUACGCAACAUACCCUUCACUGGGGGAUAGCCUUCUGAAAAGGAGAUUAACACCCCAUAAUAUCACAGGUAGGCAUCUAUUAGUGAUUAAAAUUUAUUGGUGAGGGAUUGGCGUGCGUCCUAUUAGCUAGNGGUAGCGGUAACGGCCUACCAAGGCGACGAUAGGUAGCUGGUGUGAGAGCACGACCAGCCACACGGGCACUGAGACACGGGCCCGACUCCUACGGGAGGCAGCAGUGAGGAAUAUU